CAAGCGGUGGAGCAUGUGGUUUAAUUCGAUGCAACGCGAAGAACCUUACCUGGUCUUGACAUCCACGGAAGUUUUCAGAGAUGAGAAUGUGCCUUCGGGAACCGUGAGACAGGUGCUGCAUGGCUGUCGUCAGCUCGUGUUGUGAAAUGUUGGGUUAAGUCCCGCAACGAGCGCAACCCUUAUCCUUUGUUGCCAGCGGUCCGGCCGGGAACUCAAAGGAGACUGCCAGUGAUAAACUGGAGGAAGGUGGGGAUGACGUCAAGUCAUCAUGGCCCUUACCACCAGGGCUACACACGUGCUACAAUGGCGCAUACAAAGAGAAGCGACCUCGCGAGAGCAAGCGGACCUCAUAAAGUGCGUCGUAGUCCGGAUUGGAGUCUGCAACUCGACUCCAUGAAGUCGGAAUCGCUAGUAAUCGUGGAUCACAAUGCCACGGUGAAUACGUUCCCGGGCCUUGUACACACC
rnacentral:rRNA from 1 species